UGCCGCGUGUGUGAAGAAGGUCUUCGGAUUGUAAAGCACUAAAAGUUGGGAGGAAGCGCAGUAAGUUAAUACCUUGCUGUUUUGACGUUACCAACAGAAUAAGCACCGGCUAACUUCGUGCCAGCAGCCGCGGUAAUACGAAGGGUGCAAGCGUUAAUCGGAAUUACUGGGCGUAAAGCGCGCGUAGGUGGUUCAGCAAGUUGGAUGUGAUUUCCCCGGGCUCAACCUGGGAACUGCAUCCAAAACUACUGAGCUAGAGUACGGUAGAGGGUGGUGGAAUUUCCUGUGUAGCGGUGAUUUGCGUAGAUAUAGGAUGGAACACCAGUGGCGAAGGCGACCACCUGGACUGAUACUGACACUGAGGUGCGAAAGCGUGCCGAGCAAACAGGAUUAGAUACCCUGGUAGUCCACGCCGUAAACGAUGUCGACUAGCCGUUGGGAUCCUUGAGAUCUUAGUGGCGCAGCUAACGCGAUAAGUCGACCGCCUGGCGAGUACGGCCGCAAGGUUAAAACUCAAAUGAAUUGACGGGGGCCCGCACAAGCGGUGGAGCAUGUGGUUUAAUUCGAAGCAACGCGAAGAACCUUACCUGGCCUUGACAUGCUGAGAACUUUCCAGAGAUGGAUUGGUGCCUUCGCCUACUCAGACACAGGUGCUGCAUGGCGCUUCGUCAGCACACCUGUGUCUGAGUUUCCCGAAGGCACCAAUCCAUCUCUGGAUAGUUCUCAGCAUGUCAGGGCC
rnacentral:rRNA from 1 species